CAUGAGUCAUAGGAGGAUUUUCCUGUUGCUUCAUAAAGCAUGGCCAAAUUGCCCUCCGCAGGAACGGACCCAGCUACGUUCCUCCCAGGAGUGCACGAGCUGACCUGCAGCUCCAGCCUGCGUGCAGUGAAUUGUCUGUUUCCACCUUUUCUAAGUCGAUGGGUAAAAAUGACGACGAUGAUGAGAGUUAUGACAGCACCGCAUUAUGUCGCUGGCUGGGAUUUCUACGGUGGAGUCUGCCACAUGUGAAGUUGGAAGGACCCCGGAUGGGAGCAGUCAUGAUCAUCGGUUCCCUCGUUGCCACUCCCACAUGGGACUGUGGGCAGGUAAGCUUCCCGCUGACCUAGGUGCGUGGCCAUGUGACCCGUGCUGGCCGGGGGGACGUGCCAUGUCCAAGCAGCAGCUUAAAUGUGCUCCAGUGGUGUGCUCUAUCUGCCCCGCCCAGCCCCUCCCCUCCACCACGGGGAUCGCACGUCCUGGGCAGUGGCUGCCCCUCCAUCCUGGGUCCCAGGCUCAGAAGACACACGGAGUCCAUCUCGGCUGAGCCACGGCUUUCAUGAGCAAGAAGAAGAAGUAACGUUUCUUGCUGCAAACAAUCAAGAAGCCUGUCCGAUACGGUUGGGCUCCUGUGUGCAGGAGGUUGACUGGGGAGAGCUCCCAAGCACAGCUCCAGCGGGAGUGAGGGCCGCGGGGCCGCGCGGAGGGAGAGGCUGGUCAGUGACGGAGCUGAGGACACCUCGGCCGACACGGGGGGCCCUGGAGCUGGGAGGCCAGGUGGGCAGGCUUUGCACCCGGGCAUUGAUCACUCGUGGGAUGCAGGCUUCUCCUGGGGAGGGGAGGACCUCGGGCACCGCAGUCAGUUCCUGGAGAGAUGCGGGGGAGCCCUUAGCAGCUGGAGGAGUGAAGGCCUCGCCCCUGACGGGGGCAUCUGUGAGGUGAACCACACGUCCCGUGCAUUGAUGAAGCUUCUGUAAUUGAGCACCUGGUGUGCUGGACACAAAUUGCCAACCGUGAUCACCAGGGCCCUGGGGGUUAGCGUCAGCACCCAUCAAGGGGAUUCCCAAGGUGACACUGAGAGAAGGAGGCCGGGCCGGGCUGGGGGCCCGCGGCUGUCUGACUCCAGCACCAAUGCCGUCGGCUGCUAAGACGGAGUCGGGGGAGGACAGCUGGCCAGGAGUUAGGGUCGUGCCUCACCCAGGAGGGGCGCCCGGUGGCAUCUUGGUGCGAGUGGGUGAUACCUGCCGGGACCACCCGAGGAGCCCGCUGCUGGGCUGCGGGGAUCCGACGAUGUGUUCUGGAUUGCUGUCUUCUUUUGUGCCCGAAGCUUUUACUCUCUGAGAGGGAAGCAAUUUAGAAAAUGAUUCAGCAGUUUGGUAGAAGUUUCCUCGGGCUGCCGGGUCUGCAGAAGGUGCCUCAUCUUUGGAAUCAAAUCUGUGGUUGGAGUCCCAGCUCUGCCCCCUCCCACCUCGCCGUGGGACCGUGGGGCCUGUCACAUCUCAAUUCCCCAAGGGUGGGUUGAGAUGCCACCCUCCUCCCGGGGAGGAUGCUGGGGGAUGGAGUGAGGCAAUGGGUUUGUGGACUGUGACGUUCUCCGUGGGUCAGGGACGAGUUUCAGCUCUGGGCCUAGGGACGGAGAGGUGACAGGGUGUGUUCCUCCACCUCAAGGAGGCCACAGCCCAGUGGGGAGCCCGCCACGCUGACCAACCAUCAUGGGGCUGCGCCAGGCAUGCCACGAUGCAGGGAGGCACAGAGGAGGGUGGGGGCUGGCCGUCGGGGAGGGACAUGGGAGCUGGGUUUUGAUCAAUGAAUAGGAGUUCACCAACUGGCCAAGAGGGAGUGUGUGCAGAGCUGGAGGGGGUGUGGGUCCAGAGCAUCUCAGGUGAACGUAGCGAGAGGAUGGCUUGUUCAGCUCCGUGUUCAGGCUUCCUGAUUUCAAGUCAGCUGUACUUGAGAUCUGUGCCUUUCAUGCAUGUAAAUUACACCUCGAUAAUAAACUAGAACGGACGGGAAAAGUUUGCCA
rnacentral:lncRNA from 1 species